rnacentral:rRNA from 1 species
UACAGAGGGUGCUAACGUUGUUCGGAAUUACUGGGCAUAAAGCGCACGUAGGCGGUGCGUCAAGUGCGGGGUGAAAUCCCACGGCUUACCCGUGGAACAGCUUUGCAUACUGACGUGCUGGAGUGCGGUAGAGGAGAGCGGAACUCUUGGUGGAGCGGUGAAAUGCGUAGAUAUCAAGAGGAACACCGAAGGCGAAGGCAGCUCUCUGGGCCGUGACUGACGCUGAGGUGCGAAAGCCAGGGGAUCAAACGGG